UCCCAGAUAGCUCAGUUGGUAAAGAAUCUGCCUGCAAUGCAGGAGACCCUGGUUUGAUUCCUGGGUCAGGAA
rnacentral:tRNA from 1 species